rnacentral:lncRNA from 14 species
CAAUCCCGUAGUUUUUACUUCUCUCUGCCCUGCUCCCUCUCCCACUGUUUGCCUCUCUUCCUCUUUCCCUGCUGCUUCUUUCUCCAUCUCUGUGCAGAUCCCUACCCUUUUAUUCUUCUCAUGUCCUUCCUUCUUUCCUUCCUUCCUUCCUUCCUUCCUUCCGUCCUUCCUUUUCUCUGUCCCAUUCCCUGUCCCAUCCUUUCCUGCUCAGCCUCUCUGUCCAGCUGUCUGUGCCUUCUUUCACUCUGGCUCUGGAAUUUUUCUUUCUCCCUCUCUUGACCUGGUGCCCAGCAGUUGGUUUUGUCCUCCAGUGCUGCCCUGCUCUCUCUUCCUUCUCUCACUGUCAUUCUGGCCUGCUCUCCCCAUUGUUUUUUCAUUCCUUCAUCUUGAGCCUGAAGCCCAUCAGGAUUUUCUGUUCCAUCACUUUGUCUUGCAUUCUGUCCCUGCUCUUUUCUGUCUUUCCCUUAGUUCUGCUGCCUUUCUCUUCUUUCCCUUCUUUCUCCACCUCUGCCCUGCUCAGUCCCUCUCGUUUUCUGUUUCUGUCCUGCUCCCUGUCUUUGCCCUGUCCCCCCCAUUUUUCUGUCAUACUUCCUCUUAGGGCUCCCCACCACCACUACCCUGUCACUCUUAUUUCUCAGUCGCAGCACAGUGUGUUUUUUCCCUUCCAUCUCUCUGUCCUCCUGCCCAGCCCUGGCUUUCUUACCUCCAGCUCUGUCCUGCUCCCCAUCUCUUAUUUUUGCCUGUCUUUGCCUUUGUCCUGCCUUCCUGUCCCAUUUUCCCUCUCUCUCACGUGUCCUGCUGCCUUUGUUUUUCUUGGAGAAUCGGUGUCCUGCUCCCUUUCCUCAUCUUUCCCUCUCUGUCCCCUGCCCAGGGGUGGCAUUGGGAUCUGGAGGGUUGCCUGGGACCUGCUGUGAAUCGCAGUCAGUGUGAAAUGGAACGUACCUGAGCUUGAAUGAAAUCGAACCGAUUGCAUCUGGUUUUCUUCCCACUUUCCAAUUCCAACUGACUUUGUUGGUGC